GUAUGAUUUGUCCAAAAAAUUACCGGCAUUCCUUUGGGUAUGACUUAUGUGCCUCCUUGCAGACCUUUUAUUACUUUUAUAUGAUUCGGAGCUCCGUCAUACACUUGUAAUAAAAAGAAAAGAUCAAAGACGCCAGAUCAAGUAAUUCACUUUAAGAUUUUGGGCUCUGCUUCAUUUUUAGACUGAUACCUCGAAUUUGACAUUCGCGGUCGUCUGAGUACCAGAAUCUAUGAUAAACGAGACGUUUUUGAUUAUGAAAAAACGAGACGAUUUUGAUAUUGAAAUCAUCAACUCCCGUCAUCUUAUUAGCAACACACCAACUUCUUCUGUACAUAGAAUAUACAUUUCCCAACUAUUUCGGUAUCUAAAAACUUGUAGUUUCUACUCAGGCUUUUUAAAACGUCACCAUUGUGUGAGCAGAGAGUUGAUGAAACAAGGUUAUGUCAAAGAACGUCCUAUCCUUUAAAAAAAUAAUAUAGGAAGAUACCAAG
rnacentral:lncRNA from 1 species